rnacentral:lncRNA from 1 species
CAGCAAAGGAUACUCUACAGUGAUUUGAGUCCAUGCAAAACUCCUGUAGUGCUGCAAGAAGCCAGAGAAAAGUUCUGGGAGAAAACAUCACAGAAGGGCACAGGGAAAUCAUCUUCACAGAAGAUAUUUAAGGUUGUAGAGAACUAGGUAUCUGGGGUGUGGAUGGGAGCUCACCAACAUAACCUCCUCAGCCAAUUCUUCCUGCCUUCAGUCAGCUGAAAUUGGCAAUGACUUUGUGAGAGAAUUGUGUGAGUAAAGGGCACUGUUGAGCAAUAUGUCUCUAUUCUCUGUGAUGUCAUUUCUGAUCAAUUUGACUUUCUCAUAAUGGAAUUAUUAUAAAUUUUACUAAUUUUUGGAUGUUCAGUGCUGGGUCUAUUAAUAAGACUGUUUACCUGUAGGAAAGAAAUAGCAAAAA